rnacentral:rRNA from 1 species
UCCUCUCUCGCGGGGGGGGGGGAGGAGUGGGAAUCUUCGGCAAUGGGGGCAACCCUGACCGAGCAACGCCGCGUGAGUGAAGAAGGUUUUCGGAUCGUAAAGCUCUGUUGUAAGUCAAGAACGAGUGUGAGAGUGGAAAGUUCACACUGUGACGGUAGCUUACCAGAAAGGGACGGCUAACUACGUGCCAGCAGCCGCGGUAAUACGUAGGUCCCGAGCGUUGUCCGGAUUUAUUGGGCGUAAAGCGAGCGCAGGCGGUUUGAUAAGUCUGAAGUUAAAGGCUGUGGCUCAACCAUAGUUCGCUUUGGAAACUGUCAAACUUGAGUGCAGAAGGGGAGAGUGGAAUUCCAUGUGUAGCGGUGAAAUGCGUAGAUAUAUGGAGGAACACCGGUGGCGAAAGCGGCUCUCUGGUCUGUAACUGACGCUGAGGCUCGAAAGCGUGGGGAGCGAACAGGAUUAGAUACCCUGGUAGUCCACGCCGUAAACGAUGAGUGCUAGGUGUUGGGUCCUUUCCGGGAUUCAGUGCCGCAGCUAACGCAUUAAGCACUCCGCCUGGAGUCGACCA